UACGUAGGGGGCAAGCGUUGUCCGGAAUCAUUGGGCGUAAAGAGCGUGUAGGCGGCCAGAUAAGUCCGCUGUGAAAACUCGAGGCUCAACUUCGAGCCGUCGGUGGAAACUAUUUGGCUAGAGUCCGGAAGAGGAGAGUGGAAUUCCUGGUGUAGCGGUGAAAUGCGCAGAUAUCAGGAAGAACACCCGUGGCGAAGGCGGCUCUCUGGUACGGAACUGACGCUGAGACGCGAAAGCGUGGGGAGCGAACAGG
rnacentral:rRNA from 1 species